GAAUUUUCCGCAAUGGGCGAAAGCCUGACGGAGCAACGCCGCGUGAGGGAAGAAGGCCUCUGGGCUGUAAACCUCUUUUCUCAAGGAAGAAGAUCUGACGGUACUUGAGGAAUAAGCCACGGCUAAUUCCGUGCCAGCAGCCGCGGUAAUACGGGAGUGGCAAGCGUUAUCCGGAAUUAUUGGGCGUAAAGCGUCCGCAGGCGGCCUUUCAAGUCUGCUGUUAAAGCGUGGAGCUUAACUCCAUUAAGGCAGUGGAAACUGUUGGGCUUGAGUGUGGUAGGGGCAGAGGGGAAUUCCCGGUGUAGCGGUGAAAUGCGUAGAUAUCGGGAAGAACACCAGUGGCGAAGGCGCUCUGCUGGGCCAUAACUGACGCUCAUGGACGAAAGCCAGGGGAGCGAAAGGGAUUAGAUACCCCUGUAGUC
rnacentral:rRNA from 1 species